AUGCCUCCGCCUCCGCCGGAUCGGAGGGAGUUCCUCUACAGGGACGGCCGCAGGCACGACGUGGCCGCCGGGGACCCCCUCCUGCCGGCGCCCCCCGCCACGCCGCGCUGGAGGGAUUCCCCGUACCACCCGCCGCCGCCGCCGCCGCCCCUGCGCGACCACGCCCGGCCCUCGCCCCGCAGGACCGCGUCUUCGGCCUCCUCAGAGGGCUAUUACAGGCAGGGCGCCGGCGCCUAUGACCGCUCCUACCCCGACGAGCCGCUGGGCUACACGCCCUCGCGCUCCGACCGCUACUGGCUGGAGGAGGACCCUCCCGCCGGCUAUAAGGGUUUCAGCCGCUAUGGUGGCGGCGGCGGCCGGAGGGACGGCCGUGACUUGCGGGGAUCCUACCGGAGGUCUCCGUUUAGGAGCUAUGGAGGCGACUUCCCAAGAGGCCACCAGGAGCCCCCGCCUCCCCCACCCUUGAGGAGGUCUCCUCUGAGGUCAGUUGCUGUGCCGAUCUGUUACGACCCUCCCAGUGAUAGGGCUGACAGGGAGGAUAGAGACCACCAACCCCGUGCGACUCCUUGGCGGCCGCUGCGCCGGAGGGAGAGCAGAUCUGACGCUGCAGACGCAGCUGGUGCUGGACCUUUGUCAGCUCGUCAGAGCGCUACUGCAGGGGCGGCUUCAGAGAAGAACGCCCCAUCGCAGUCUGCGGCUGUGGCAGAUUCACAGUCGGCUGAGGAGGAGACACCCAGGAAGAAGCCCCGGCUUGGAUGGGGGCAAGGCUUGGCCAAAUAUGAGAAGCAGAAGGUGCCUGGUUCUUCAGAAUCUGCUGAACCUGUUGCUGAAGGGAGCCCAGGCGGCGUUGAACAGAAGGAAGUUGAUGGCGCACCUGCACCUGCACUUUGUGCAUCUCCAGUGGCAGCACCGGCUGCACCACCACCUGCACCUGCACUUUGCGCAUCUCCAGUGGCUGCACCGGCAGCACCAUCUGCACCUCCAUCUAGUUCUCCUGUGCCUGAAGAUAAAUCCUGUGAACUGACGACAAAUACAGUCACAGUUUCCAAUAAAGAUAUCCCCGGGGCGGAGGUCCAGGCUUACAACGAUGAAAUCCCCAUUAAGUUAGGUCAACUUGAUGGUGAUCGCAUUGGCUCCCUUGCCAAUGUCCUUGCUGAACUACUUCAACAUGAAGAUUCUUGUUCUGGGGAUUCGAGAAGACUGACAAAUAGUAGUAAGUUAUUGCUACUGAAAGAAAACAUAGCCAGGGAGCUUGAGAAGACCGAGCUUGAGAUUGAUUUAUUGGAAUGUGAACUUAAAUCAGUGAGUACUGAAUCGGAAAACAAGGCUCUUGAAGAUGCACAAAAUCCUUCACCUUCUAGUGGGACAUCAAAAACUCUAGCCAAGCCUGCGACAUCAAAAGUUCUAGCCAAGCCUGAGACAUCAAAAGUUCUAGCCAUGCCUGAGAUCUGUGGAACAUCAUCUUCCCCUAAAGAACAAGGGGUGCUCACUCCUUGCAAGCUUUCUGUGGGGCAGGAAGCUGAUGCUAACGGUGUAGACUUGAUGGAUGUUGUAACAGCUCCUGUUCGCAGUGUAACAGCAGUCUCAUCGGGGGAGAGUGUUGCAUGUCCUGGAGUUGUUGCUGAAGCUCAGGUUGCUGUAGCUGCAGAUGUGGCCCCAUUGAAGCCUUCUGAAGGAACUGGGUCUGAAAUUGAUGCCCACUGUCUGACGCCGGAGCCUGGUUUGUCCCAUGAUAAUGUUAGUUCCAUGAAAGCUGAUGGCAGCAAUGCCUUGUCAACCAGGCAGUGCUCACAGCAUAUCGACAGCCAUAACUUAAUCCCUUCAAUUAUUGCUGUGAACAAUGAUAUAGCAAAAGAAUUUAAUGAACUGGUUUUCAAACCUUUGCCUUAUGGUCAACCAUGUCUUGGUUUAUCCAGUGAAAUGAAGAAUGACCUGAGUGUCAGAAAGAAGCUUGGCAUACAUAAAAAUAGACUAAGAUUCAAAGAGCAAGCACUUACCUUCAAGUUCAAGGUGCUGCGACACCUGUGGAAAGAGGAUGUGCGGCUCCUCUCUGUAAGAAAGCAGCGCCCAAAGUCUAAUAAACGCACUGAUCAGAGCAACCGUGCAUCACAGAGUGGAUCUCAGAGGCAACGCUCGUCUAAUCGCUCUCGAUUGGGCAUGCCUGCUGGUAAUCUGAGUACGUUUCCUACCACAGAAAUAUCAGAUGUUGCAAACAAGAUGUUUACAGAAUUUCAGUUUAAGCGUUGCAGAAAUUACUUGAAAAUGCCAGCAUUAAUUAUAGAUGAAAAAGAGAAAGAAAGUGCUAGCUUUGUCAGCAAGAAUGGUUUGAUUGAGGAUCCUGUUUCAGUUGAGAAGGAGCGGUCAGUGAUAAAUCCAUGGACGCAUGAAGAGAAGGAAGUUUUUAUGCAGAUGCUUGCUUCAUUUGGCAAGAAUUUCUCUAAAAUCUCCAAUUUUCUACAGCACAAGACAACAGCUGAUUGUGUUGAGUUCUACUACAAGCACCAUAAAUCUGACAGUUUCCGAGAAGUGAAGAAACUUCUGGAUCUUCGGCAGCAACAACCCACUGGCAAUUACCUAGGAACAAAAUCUGGAAAGAAAUGGAAUCCUGAGAAUGCUGCAUCUCUUGAUAUGCUUGGAAAUGCUGCAUCAGUCGUGGCUGCCCAUGGUCUUGAUUAUGCAAACAGAGUAGAGAAAGAUACUGCAAAGUCUAUCAUUCGGACUUCUUGUAGGUCUGAUGUUUCGGCUGUGGCCAAAGGAUCUUUGGAUAAGGAUGGCAUUGCUAAUGUAUCUCUGCACGAGAGGGAAUCUGUAGCUGCUGAUGUCUUGGCAGGUAUAUGUGGAACUCUCUCCCCUGAAGGAAUGGGCUCAUGCAUUACCAGUUCUGCUGAUCAUGGCCAAAAGAUAGGUGCCACAAGAAUGGAGUAUCUUAUAGCAACUCCAGAGGCAGACAAGAGCUUUGAUGAGGAAGACGAUCUCUCAGACCAGGAAUGCGAAGUUGACUCAGUUGAUUGGUACGACAAUGAGAAGUCACUGUUCAUCGAGGCUCUGAAUAACCAUGGGAAGGAUUUUGCUCGAAUUUCUUCGUAUGUGAAGAGCAAGUCAUAUGAGCAGUGCAAGGUAUUUUUCAGCAAGGCUCGCAUUUCACUUGGUUUGGAUUUGAUCUAUCAGCAGACUACCGAUGCUGGUUUGCCGACAGGUGAUGCCAGUGGAGGUAGGAGUGAUACUGACGAGGCAUGUGCUGCUGAAAUGGAUUCUCCUAUUUGUAGCACACAGUCUCCUGUGGAAAUGGAGAUGGAAGUUUGUCCUUCUGCUGAUAAAACCCUUCAGGGGCAUCUUCUAUCUGGUAUCGCCUUUAAACAGUCAGAAACUGAUAGAUCAGAUGGGCCAGAUAUUGUGGACCUAACAUUUGAGGAAGGUGAGAUCAAGGCAGAGGAUACUAAUAAUUGUAACAUUCCUGUUGAUCAUAGACAGUCAAGUGAAGCCACUCAUGAAUCGACACCUUCAUGUGCUCCUAUCGAUAUCAAUUCUUCUGAGAGCACAGGGAGUAUGGAGAACAGAGAGCACAGUAACCAAGUGAGUGCGCAUGGCAACGGAGCCAUGGCCUCUUCAACUGAGCUGCCUGUGGGAGCACACCUGGAAAUCAGCUCCAGUCUGCACAAUGUUGAAGUUAUUGAGCCGAGCAAGGUGUCUGAAAUGAUUUGCACUCAGGUAUCCAGCAGGGAACAUGCUCCCGAGAGUGGUGCACCCAUCAGCGCUGGAAAUUUAACCACCCCGGUUUUCUUACCUGGAGUCAUCCAGUCGAGCAAGGUGUAUGAAGGGAUUUGCACCAAGGAAUCUAGUGUGGAAGGACCUUCUCAACAAGCACCCUUGAGUGCACACAUGAAGGCUGGAAAUUUGACCCUCUCUGUUUGCUUUACCUGGGGAACACUGUAG
rnacentral:rRNA from 1 species